rnacentral:lncRNA from 1 species
AUUUGGAUUUUCUAUUUCAUAGUUAUUGAAAUCAUAAUGAGAAUGAAGUACUGCCACUAAGUCGUAUUGGAUAUGUUGCAAGGAGCUGUUCUCAAAACAUUGGGUGACAAAGAAUUCACUUUUACAAAAAUCGAGCAGGAUAUUAAAGACAGCGAACUAUAGAACAAAUAUGGCGAAGCUGAAUGAAAUCUAUGUUGAAUUUUAUUAUUGAAAAAAAUUAUGCUCUUCAGAUUUAAUGUUAGUUUUUAUUGUUUAACAGUAAUUGC